rnacentral:ncRNA from 1 species
AAAGACAUAGGGGGUGUAGGAUAGGUGGGAGCUUCGGCGCCAGUGAAAUACCACUACCCUUAUCGUUUUUUUACUUAUUCGAUGAAGCGGAGCUGGGUUUUACCGCCCAACUUCUGGCGUUAAGGUCCUUCGUGGGCCGAUCCGGGUUGAAGACAUUGUCAGGUGGGGAGUUUGGCUGGGGCGGCACACUGCGCCUCAUGGAUGUCGGAUGCUCAAUCAUAUAUGUUUAUAUAACGAAACAAGAGACCAACGCGCCAGUUGCAAGUAUCGCAAACAUUAAAAAAAGUAACGCAGAGAUACACCACGGCCA